CUUGCUCCUUUGACGUUAGCGGCGGACGGGUGAGUAACACGUAGGUAACCUACCUAUAAGACUGGGAUAACUUCGGGAAACCGGAGCUAAUACCGGAUAAUAUUUCGAACCGCAUGGUUCGAUAGUGAAAGAUGGCUUUGCUAUCACUUAUAGAUGGACCUGCGCCGUAUUAGCUAGUUGGUAAGGUAACGGCUUACCAAGGCAACGAUACGUAGCCGACCUGAGAGGGUGAUCGGCCACACUGGAACUGAGACACGGUCCAGACUCCUACGGGAGGCAGCAGUAGGGAAUCUUCCGCAAUGGGCGAAAGCCUGACGGAGCAACGCCGCGUGAGUGAUGAAGGUCUUCGGAUCGUAAAACUCUGUUAUUAGGGAAGAACAAACGUGUAAGUAACUGUGCACGUCUUGACGGUACCUAAUCAGAAAGCCACGGCUAACUACGUGCCAGCAGCCGCGGUAAUACGGA
rnacentral:rRNA from 1 species